rnacentral:rRNA from 1 species
UACGUAGGGGGCGAGCGUUGUCCGGAAUUAUUGGGCGUAAAGAGCUCGUAGGCGGUCAGUCGCGUCUGCUGUGAAAACUCGGGGCUUAACUCCGGGCCUGCAGUGGGUACGGGCUGACUAGAGUGCGGUAGGGGAGACUGGAAUUCCUGGUGUAGCGGUGAAAUGCGCAGAUAUCAGGAGGAACACCGGUGGCGAAGGCGGGUCUCUGGGCCGUAACUGACGCUGAGGAGCGAAAGCGUGGGGAGCGAACAGG